UGGGCUAUAGUGUAGUGGUAGCACAACAGAUUCUGACUCUGUUUGCCUAGGUUCGAGUCCUGGUAGCCCAA
rnacentral:tRNA from 1 species